AUUGAACGCUGGCGGCAUGCCUUACACAUGCAAGUCGAACGGCAGCACGGGAGCAAUCCUGGUGGCGAGUGGCGAACGGGUGAGUAAUAUAUCGGAACGUGCCCGGUCGUGGGGGAUAACGUAGCGAAAGCUACGCUAAUACCGCAUACGAUCUACGGAUGAAAGCGGGGGAUCGCAAGACCUCGCGCGAUUGGAGCGGCCGAUAUCAGAUUAGGUAGUUGGUGAGGUAAAGGCUCACCAAGCCGACGAUCUGUAGCUGGUCUGAGAGGACGACCAGCCACACUGGGACUGAGACACGGCCCAGACUCCUACGGGAGGCAGCAGUGGGGAAUUUUGGACAAUGGGCGCAAGCCUGAUCCAGCAAUGCCGCGUGAGUGAAGAAGGCCAGUC
rnacentral:rRNA from 1 species